rnacentral:tRNA from 1 species
GCCAAUUUGGCUCAGUGGGUAGAGUGUCGGCCUGCAGGUCGAAGGGUCCCGGGUUCAAAUCCGGUCAAGGGCA